rnacentral:rRNA from 1 species
GCUACAGUCAUAUCAUGUUGAAUACAUUGGUUCUCAUCUCAUCAUCAAAGUUAAACAAUGUCAAGUCUAGUUGGUACUUAAAUGAGUGACCACUUAGGAAACCAAGGUGUUGUAAGCA